GACGAACGCUGGCGGCGUGCUUAACACAUGCAAGUCGAACGAAGUGGCGGACGGGUGAGUAACGCGUAAUCAACCUGCCCUUCAGAGGGGGACAACAGUUGGAAACGACUGCUAAUACCGCAUACUGAAGGAGGGGAUUGCGUCUGAUUAGCUAGUUGGAGGGGUAACGGCCCACCAGGGCGAUGAUCAGUAGCCGGGCUGAGAGGAUGAACGGCCAAAUUUGGACUGGGACACGGCCCAGAAUCCUACGGGAGGCAGCAGUGGGGAAUCUUUCGAAAUGGACGAAAGUCCGACUGAGCAACGCCGCGGGAGUGAUGACGGCCUUCGGGUUGUAAAGCUCUGUUAAUCGGGACGCGGUACCGGAAUAGAAAGCAACGGCUAACUACGUGCCAGCAGCCGCGGUAAUUC
rnacentral:rRNA from 1 species